rnacentral:rRNA from 1 species
GUUCACACUCUAGACGUAGUAAUUUUAUCUCGCCUAUUAGUUGGACCGGUC